rnacentral:lncRNA from 1 species
UUUCCGUUAUCCUCACCCUGUAACGCGCAAUCGCCUCCCAAAGUUCCAUUUGAUGCCAUCUUUUUCGCCGGUGAAAAUGCUCAUCACUACGAUAGCAUGUAUGACACUUUUCAUUACAUUUUGGCAUCAUAGAGAUUCAUUGUUAUUUUUCUUGAAUGUUGUGACAAAUUUCGUAAUACCAAUAUUAAUUUCAACAGCAAAGACGUACAUUUAGCAAAUUAAUGUUGAAGGUUUCCUAGUAUACUAGCAUGAAGAAAGGCCGAUCUCUUAGCAUUGUGAAGGAUUUCAGGGAAAGGAAAAACUUUGUCGAUUUUAAUUAAGAGCAUUUUAUACAAAUUUUAAGGAAAAACUCGUCAAAAGGGUUUUAUUUAUCUUUUCUUAUUCACACAUAUUCAAUUCAAAGGCGAUAAAUUGUUAAUUAGCAAAUUUGUGGUAGAAGACAAUGCUUUUUUUACUUGAAGGGAAGUGGUAAAGGGAAGACCUGAGGUCCGAUCUCUUCAACACUAGUGAAGGGAGCAGACCCUAUGACAAAGGUAAGUGGUAAAGGAUUUUUGGUUUGCUACCAUGUUCUGCAUGUUUCCACCUCUGUUUCAAACACGACGCGAUAAAAUUGAAGACUUUUUCGGGGCACGUGUCAAAUGUAUUGCUAAUUCAUAGGCGAUGCUGAAAGUGGUUUCAUCCUCAUUUCUACGGUCUCUGUGCGCUAAUAUUUAAUGGUUUUCAUCGUGGUAAGUUGAUAUACAACGGUGCCGGAAUCUCUCAAGUAACAAGUAACGGGUGUGCACUUAGUUUUGGAAAAAGAUCGAUUAUCUCUUUUUUGAACUUGAAGUUAUAAAUACAAAUGCUGGCAUAGUGAAUACCUAAUCAUGCAAUUGAGGAUGAGCAUGCCAAAAUUCAAAUUUAUACAAUUGACUUGGGGAAACUACCCAUGCUGGAAACUGCCAGUCUGCAAGGUAUGGCAAUUUCGACAAGAUCUGGUCGGUGCGGGCUUGUUCAGCUGUUGCGGCGUGGUGCGGAUUUCGCUUGGUGUGCGGAUUUAGUGGAUCACAGUGCAGAUUUGGCUUGGCGAUGGACUUGACGGACAAGACGAUAUUGAUGAGGCAAAUCGAAAAACAUUGCUGGAGCUUUUAUGUGUAAUUCAGUGUCCCCUGGGUUUCAAUGAGUGUGCAACUGCUGGUCAUUUUUGGGUUCUGUGCGGAUCUUUUACCCUCAGCCCACAUUGGGGUGGAUUUUCCGGUUUUGAAGGGUUGGUGCGGAUUGUGAACUUGGGCUAGUGCCCUUCGUCGACAUGCGAGCGAUACUUUGCAGCAUGGCUGCGCACGGCUGCAAAGUAUGGCUUCAGCUUCAGCAAUGUUUUUCAAUUUUCCUCAUAUAUCUUGUCUGGUCUGUCAUGUCCAUCAACAAGCAAAUCUGCAAUGUGCUACACCAGUGUCCCAAAAUUAGGGAUAUUUUGGCUUGGGUGUUCGAGGGUAAAAUUCCUCACUACAAAGAGGACUGAAAGUGGAAAAUUGCCAGUCAGAAAGAUACAAAGAAGAAUGAAAACAUGAUCACCAUUUUCUAUGUGAAUGUUACAGGAUGUGGGAGCUGCGAUGAUUUAAUGGAAUUUGAAUGUAGGUACAAGCCAGCCAGCAAAUGUACAUGCGGAUGAUCUUAGUUGUUAAAGUUGGGAGGGCAACUUGUCCUGGAAAAUUAAAGGUGAGAGUGGACCGAGUGGACUAUUCAAUUUCACAAGGAUUUCACUUUCCACCCAAAUCUUGGGACACUGGGCUACACUAGAUCUGCACCCUACCAGCCAAAUCCGCACCACGCCGCAUCAGAUCAGCACCAGCUGAACAAGCCUGCACCGACAAGCUUUUGUCAAAAUUGCAAUGCUUUGCAGACUGGGAAACUACUAGGCGCAAAUCCAAAUAUUGAUCGACCAAUAAACAGUUGAAGUGAGCAGGGCUAUGACCAAACUAGGAAUAAAUAAUUUAAAUAUGAAUGCUUAUAAUUAUAAAUAGUUAUAAAAAAUUAGUAUUUGUCAAUCACCAUUCAGCGACCGUUGACCUGACUCAGUCUGAAAAACGUGGCAGCCACGUUUUUCAGACAUGCUGAAAGCUGUCAUGCUGCACCUCUUAAUAUUAAUUGUAUAACAACUUUGCCAGUGCCGGAGACGACGGCGACGUCACCUGCGAGUUCCGCGGAACCCCUGACGCCGUCACCAGCUGGACCAUCCGCGGCCCUGGACCAUCCAGCGACGGCCGUGACGCCGUCACCAGCUGGACCAUCCGCGGCACUGGACCAUCCAGCGACGGCCGUGGCAUCGACUCUGCCAGUGCCGGAGAGGUCGGCGACGUCACCUGCGCCGCUGGUGUCAACACCGCAUGGACAUCAGCUGCGAGCUGGUAAACGGCGGUGGAGUGGAAGCAGAGCGCGCAAGCCACCAGCCAGCUGACUCAGAGCCCAGGGGGCGUUCGCCACCAACAUCCGCACGGCGCAGCUGCAGAGGUGAUUUCUGCCAUGGAGCAGCAUCCGCGGCUCCAUGACAUCAUCCUUCCAUCAUUCUCCAUCAUCAUUUCCGGAGCUCACCCGACGGCGGAGCUGGCGACGCCCGCGCCCCGCCUGGCCGUCCAGCCUGCGCGCUCCGCCGCGCGCCGCGGGCCCGGCUCGCCGAGACGUCCGGCUUAGGUCGGCGUUUGAGGCGCGGCGGGGGGCAACGUCUCUGUGCCCUGCUCCGGGUCCCCGCCGCCUGCGGUCUCUUCUUCUGCCGCCACUGAGGGGAACGGCUCUUCUUUGAAGACAUCAUCGGUCGACGGUGAUGCUGGCGGGCCGGUGGCGGCGUGCCCCGUCGGCAGCGCGCCUGGGGAGGACGCUGGUGACGACGAAUCUUCAUCGCCGUCGGCACCGGUCGCGAGCGAGUCGCUGUUUAGUUGGCCUGCUACUGUGCCAAAAAGUGCGACUGUGGCCAGACUGGUAUACGAUUUGUCAGUGCUUACGCCCCUCUUGCCGUGCCGGCCGUGCUCUUUGCCGUCUAUUGGGGAUGCGUUAGAGUUAUCGUUUUGGGGUUUAUACCGGUAUCAAGAUUGAUUUAAAAGAUGGAUUUCAUCACAUUUCUCGCGCACGUUCCACACGUCCUUUUGGUGUUUUGUAUGAUGGUAAAACGUGCUUAUACCUUUUCUCUGUUACCAAUGGGCCCUAUUAGGUACUGCAUCUCCUGCAUUAUUAGGUAGAGAUGCAGUACCAUUAUUAGGUACUGCAUUAUUAGGUACUGAAGGAGAUGCAGUUAGGUACUGCAUCUCCUUCGGAGAUGCAGUACCUAACAGAUGCUUUCAGUGAACUUGUAGAGUCGAGAUUUAACGUCAGGUGUUUGGCGUAUUUAGAUGAUUUUCUUUUCAUGUCCAAGGACGCUGAAUGGUAUCGCUGCGUUUCUGACUAGUGUUGGGUUGUGUAUUAAUUUCAAUAAAUUAGUUCUCGUUCCGUU